GCACUUGGCCCAGAGUUCACACUCAGGGCUCAUUGCUGUCAUUGUUUCUGUCCUCGUUCCUGUUGUUAUUACUGGACUUGGAAUCAGAAGCAGGUUCGAAUCCCAACUCUAC
ensembl:miRNA